UACGUAGGUGGCAAGCGUUGUCCGGAUUUAUUGGGCGUAAAGCGCGCGCAGGUGGUUUCUUAAGUCUGAUGUGAAAGCCCACGGCUCAACCGUGGAGGGUCAUUGGAAACUGGGAGACUUGAGUGCAGAAGAGGAUAGUGGAAUUCCAAGUGUAGCGGUGAAAUGCGUAGAGAUUUGGAGGAACACCAGUGGCGAAGGCGACUGUCUGGUCUGUAACUGACACUGAGGCGCGAAAGCGUGGGGAGCAAACAGGAUUAGAUACCCCGGUAGUCC
rnacentral:rRNA from 1 species